ACGGAGGAUGCGAGCGUUAUCCGGAUUUAUUGGGUUUAAAGGGAGCGUAGACGGGACGUUAAGUCAGCUGUGAAAGUUUGGGGCUCAACCUUAAAAUUGCAGUUGAAACUGGCUUUCUUGAGUGCGGCAGAGGCAGGCGGAAUUCGUGGUGUAGCGGUGAAAUGCUUAGAUAUCACGAAGAACUCCGAUUGCGAAGGCAGCCUGCUGGACCGUAACUGACGUUGAUGCUCGAAAGUGUGGGUAUCAAACAGG
rnacentral:rRNA from 1 species